AUCUAAUGGACUCCUCAGAAUUGGAGAACUGUAAAAUUCAAGAAAACAUGGGUUCACAGAGGUUAAGAAAUCUGACUAUAGCUAUACAGCUAGUAAAGUGACAAAGUCCUGAUUCUCUCCAAUCAGAACUCCUUCCAAGUCAAGAAGGCUUUACUAGUUAUACCAACAUAAUUUUUUUUCCCUAAUGCUAUUUCUUAUGUCCUUAGGACACAACUUCCCCUAGUUAAUCAAUCACAAGGUUUUUAUUUUUUAACUCUACAACACCCACUCUCCUGAAACUGUUCAGAAUGACAAACAUAACUCUAUCAAAUCUGGGAGGCGACUACUUUUUCCCCCCAGAGCAUUUCAUGUUUAUAUUACAUGACCUGUAGUUCAGAGGAAACUCACCAAGCUAAUAUGUUGUAGUACACUAUAGCUACUUAAUGUGAAGUGUCUAAGCAAUGGAAGCAGAGACAAAGUCUUGGAAGAUACAGAAUACAUGUUUAAUUUGCUUAGAACAAGUAUUUAUCCAAUAUCUAUCAUACGGAAGGCUCUGUGCUAUUAGCAAAAAGUCCCACUUAAUUUCAAGUUCUGUAAAUCUAACAGAAAUGAAGAAACACUAUGUUCACCCUUUUGCACUGAAACCCCCUCCCCCCAAAACUAAAACGCGCGCGCGCGCGCGCGCGCACGCACACACACACACACACACACACACACUCUCUCCCUCCCUCCAAAAUGUGGAAUCCCCACCCCCGACCGGGUUGAGGCACUAAAGAAAAUGUUUUCUCACAGACCAAUGGUACUGUAAUUGUUGUGCUUAAGAAACCACGUGGAUCUCUACCACAUAACUGAAGAACUGAUGGAAACCGGAGACAUGAAGAUGUCUAAUCAACUGGCUUGUUUUAUAGGCAUUAGGGGCAUCUUAUUUCAAGAAGAAACCCAUCCUGAUGCAAUUUAAAUCCAUCUUGUCUUGUUUAAGCUUCAAAAAAGAGAAAACUGUACCAGGUUUCCUCUGAAUAUUUCUUGACUUGUUUUUCUCCAUCUGUAUUCAGUCACCAUCUUUCCAUGAUCCCACUGGCUGUGUUUCAUGCUACUUACGGCAUGGGAAGAGCUUAUAAAACUCAUAUUGUUAGAAAUAAAAGAAAUCCUUUAACAAUUGCCAUAGUCUUUUUUUUUUUUUAAUAAUUGGGUAAGCUUUGGGGCACUUGGGUGGCUCAGAUGGUUAAGCAUCUGCCUUCGGCUCAGGUCAUGAUCUCUGGGUCCUGGGAUCAAGCCCCACGUCGGGCUCCCUGCUUAGCUGGGAGCCUGCUUUUCCCUCUCCCUCUGUUUGCUGCUCCCCCUGCUUGUGUGUUCUCUCUCUCUCUCAAAUGAAUAAAUAAACUCUUUUAAAAAAAAUAAUUGGGUAAGUUUUUCCUUGCCUCAUAAGAAUUUAAGAAGGGCUAUCUUUCCCAUUAAGAUAGCCUUUUAAAGCACUCCUAUUUUAUCAAAGCAUCAUUAUGAUCUCUUCUGCAAAAGCAUUUGGAAAUUAUUGAAAUUCUUGGACGUUUUGGUUGAGGAUAUAUAUUAAUCAUAGUUGUUUUCUUUGCAUUGAACCCCAUGGUUUGUUUUACAGAGGAUAAGUAACAACAUGUCAACCAGGAAAAUUAAUUCCAGG
rnacentral:lncRNA from 1 species